GUCGAUGGCCCACUCACCUUGCAUGUACCCAAUCUUAUCAGAUCUCAGAAGCUAAGCAGGAAUUGAGUCUGGUUCUAUGUGGAUGUGUGUUAACAAGUACAUACGAGGCGUUGCAGGCG
rnacentral:rRNA from 1 species